rnacentral:rRNA from 1 species
AGGGUGCGAGCGUUAAUCGGAAUUACUGGGCGUAAAGCGUGCGUAGGCGGCCUGUUAAGUCAGAUGUGAAAGCCCUGGGCUCAACCUGGGAACGGCAUUUGAAACUGGCAAGCUAGAGUUAGGUAGAGGGAAGUGGAAUUUCAGGUGUAGCGGUGAGAUGCGUAGAUAUCUUAAGGAACACCAGUGGCGAAGGCGGCUUCCUGGACCCAAACUGACGCUGAGGUACGAAAGCGUGGGUAGCAAACAGGAUUAGAUACCCUGGUAGUCCACGCCGUAAACGAUGUCGACUAGCCGUUGGGCUCUUAUAGAGUUUAGUGGCGCAGCUAACGCAUUAAGUGCCCCGCCUGGGGAGUACGAUCGCAAGAUUAAAACUCAAAGGAAUUGACGGGGCCCCGCACAAGCAGCGGAGCAUGCGGCUCAAUUCGACGCAACGCGAAGAACCUUACCAGGCUUGACAUAUACAGGAAUAUGACAGAGAUGUCAUAGCCGCAAGGUCUGUAUACAGGUGGUGCAUGGUUGUCGUCAGCUCGUGUCGUGAGAUGUUGGGUUAAGUCCCGCAACGAGCGCAACCCUCGUUCUGUGUUGCCAGCAUUUAGUUGGGGACUCACAGGAGACUGCCGGGGUUAACUCGGAGGAAGGUGGGGAUGACGUCAAAUCAUCAUGCCCCUUAUGUCUGGGCUGCACGCAUGCUACAAUGGCUGGUACAAACGGCUGCGAUACCGCAAGGUGGAGCGAAUCCGAGAAAGCCAGUCUCAGUUCGGAUUGGGGUCUGCAACUCGACCCCAUGAAGUCGGAGUUGCUAGUAAUCGUAGAUCAGCAACGCUACGGUGAAUACGU